rnacentral:misc_RNA from 1 species
UUUCCGUAGGUGAACCUGCGGAAGGAUCAUUCAUAAUAAGUGUUUUACUGCACUUUUAAAAGAUAGUACUCACCUUGCGUGCAAUGUUGUGUUUCUUUUCGGAGAAACACCUACACCAACCUAUAACCUUGAACCACUUUGUCUGAAAAACUAUUAUGAAUACUUAAUUCAAAAUACAACUUUCAACAACGGAUCUCUUGGCUCUC